rnacentral:rRNA from 1 species
CCUACGGGAGGCAGCAGUGGGGAAUAUUGGGCAAUGGGCGCAAGCCUGACCCAGCAACGCCGCGUGAAGGAAGAAGGCUUUCGGGUUGUAAACUUCUUUUCUGAGGGACGAAGAAAGUGACGGUACCUCAGGAAUAAGCCACGGCUAACUACGUGCCAGCCGCCGCGGUAAGACGUAGGGGGAAAGCGUUAUCCGGUUUUAUUGGGUGUAAAGGGCGUGUAGGCGGGAAAGCAAGUCAGAUGUGAAAACUCAGGGCUCAACCCUGAGCCUGCAUUUGAAACUGUUUUGCUUGAGGGCUGGAGAGGUAAGUGGAAUUCCUAGUGUAGCGGUGAAAUGCGUAGAUAUUAGGAGGAACACCAGUGGCGAAGGCGGCUUACUGGACUGUAACUGACGUUGAGGCUCGAAAGCGUGGGGAGCAAACAGGAUUAGAUACCCCUGUAGUC